rnacentral:rRNA from 1 species
GUGGGGAAUAUUGGACAAUGGGCGAAAGCCUGAUCCAGCCAUGCCGCGUGUGUGAAGAAGGUCUUCGGAUUGUAAAGCACUUUAAGUUGGGAGGAAGGGCAGUAAGUUAAUACCUUGCUGUUUUGACGUUACCGACAGAAUAAGCACCGGCUAACUUCGUGCCAGCAGCCGCGGUAAUACGAAGGGUGCAAGCGUUAAUCGGAAUUACUGGGCGUAAAGCGCGCGUAGGUGGUUUUGUAAGUUGGAGGUGAAAUCCCCGGGCUCAACCUGGGAACUGCCUCCAAAACUGAAUGACUAGAGUACGGUAGAGGGUAGUGGAAUUUCCUGUGUAGCGGUGAAAUGCGUAGAUAUAGGAAGGAACACCAGUGGCGAAGGCGACUACCUGGACUGAUACUGACACUGAGGUGCGAAAGCGUGGGGAGCAAACAGGAUUAGAAACCCGAGUAGUCC